UUGGGAGCUCUCCCAUAUGGUCGACCUGCAGGCGGCCGCGAAUUCACUAGUGAUUCGUAUUACCGCGGCUGCUGGCACAGAGUUAGCCGGUGCUUAUUCUGUCGGUAACGUCAAAACAGCAAAGUAUUAAUUUACUGCCCUUCCUCCCAACUUAAAGUGCUUUACAAUCCGAAGACCUUCUUCACACACGCGGCAUGGCUGGAUCAGGCUUUCGCCCAUUGUCCAAUAUUCCCCACUGCUGCCUCCCGUAGGAGUCUGGACCGUGUCUCAGUUCCAGUGUGACUGAUCAUCCUCUCAGACCAGUUACGGAUCGUCGCCUUGGUGAGCCAUUACCCCACCAACUAGCUAAUCCGACCUAGGCUCAUCUGAUAGCGCAAGGCCCGAAGGUCCCCUGCUUUCUCCCGUAGGACGUAUGCGGUAUUAGCGUCCGUUUCCGAACGUUAUC
rnacentral:rRNA from 1 species